rnacentral:rRNA from 1 species
AUUGAACGCUGGCGGCAUGCUUUACACAUGCAAGUCGAACGGUAACAGGUUAAGCUGACGAGUGGCGAACGGGUGAGUAAUGCAUCGGAACGUGCCCGGUCGUGGGGGAUAACGCAGCGAAAGCUGCGCUAAUACCGCAUACGAUCUGAGGAUGAAAGCGGGGGACCGUAAGGCCUCGCGCGAUCGGAGCGGCCGAUGUCAGAUUAGGUAGUUGGUGGGGUAAAGGCCCACCAAGCCGACGAUCUGUAGCUGGUCUGAGAGGACGACCAGCCACACUGGGACUGAGACACGGCCCAGACUCCUACGGGAGGCAGCAGUGGGGAAUUUUGGACAAUGGGCGAAAGCCUGAUCCAGCAAUGCCGCGUGCAGGAAGAAGGCCUUCGGGUUGUAAACUGCUUUUGUACGGAGCGAAAAGAUCCUUUCUAAUACAAGGGGCUCAUGACGGUACCGUAAGAAUAAGCACCGGCUAACUACGUGCCAGCCGCCGCGGUAAGAC